rnacentral:rRNA from 1 species
GUAGGGAAUAUUGGGCAAUGGAAGGAAUUCUGACCCAGCCAUGCCGCGUGCAGGAAUACAGUCCUAUGGACUUUAAACUGCUUUUAUUAUAGAGUAACCUGGGGGACGUGUCCCCCACUGCAAGUAUAUAAUGAAUAAGCAUCGGCUAACUCCGUGCCAGCAGCCGCGGUAAUACGGGGGAUGCAAGCGUUAUCCGGAUUUAUUGGGUUUAAAGGGUGCGCAGGCUGAUCGGUAAGUCAUGGGUGAAAAGUCACUGCUUAACAGUGAUCGUGCCUAUGAUACUGCCGGACUAGAGUUUAAGAGGUGUAACUGGAAUGUGAUGUGUAGCGGUGAAAUGCUUAGAUAUGUCACAGAACGCCAAUCGUGAAGACAGGUUACAAACUUAAUACUGAUGCUCAUGCACGAAAGCGUGGGGAUCAAACAGGAUUAGAAACCCCGGUAGUCC